rnacentral:rRNA from 1 species
UGCGUAACAGCUCACUGGUCGAGUGGACAUGCGCCGACAAUACACGGGGCUAAGCAUGGCGCCGAAGCGGCGGACUAAAUCAUUUAGUGGUAGGGGAGCUUCCCCGGGGGGGAGAAGCCGGAGGGCGACCUCCGGUGGACCGCCGGGGAGUGAGAAUGCUGGCACGAGUAGCGAGAGCGGGGCGAGAAACCCCGCCGCCGCAAGCCCAAGGUUUCCUGGGCGAUGCUAAUCAUCCCAGGGUCAGCCGGGAGCUAAGGCGAGGCCGAGAGGCGCAGCCGAUGCGCAGCUGGCAGACAUUCCAGCGCCGCUCCCGCGCCGCUACGACCGAAGGGGCGACGGAGAAGGGCAGCCGGGCGGGGUUCUGGACGUCCCCGUGAAAGCGCGUAGGGGGCAGGGCAUGGAAAUCAGCCCUGCACGUGCCCCGAGACGCGAGACGAAGCCUCCAUGGCGAAGCCGGUCAUCCCAUGCUCCCGAGAAAAACCCCUAGGCAGGCGCGGGCGCGCCCGUACCAAGACCGACACAGGUGGGCGGGUAGAACAUACCGAGGCGAUCGGGAGAACCAUGGUCAAGGAACUCGGCACACUGGCCCCGUAACCUAGGGAGAAGGGGCGCCCCCCGGCGUGAAGGAGCUUUGCCUCCGGAGCGCGGGGGGGCCGCAGCGAAACGGCCCAAGCGACUGUUUACCAAAAACACAGGACUCUGCCAAGCCGCGAGGCGAAGUAUAGGGUCUGACGCCUGCCCGGUGCCGGAAGGUUACGCGGAUGCGUUAGCAGCGAUGCGAGGCGCUGAAGCCAAGCCCCGGUAAACGGCGGCCGUAACUAUAACGGUCCUAAGGUAGCGAAAUUCCUUGUCGGGUAAGUUCCGACCUGCACGAACGGCGCAACGACUUGGGCGCUGUCUCGACCAUGGGCCCGGCGAAAUUGCAUUAUCCGUGAAGAUGCGGAUUCCCCGCGGAAGGACGGAAAGACCCCGUGAACCUUUACUGCAGCUUGGCAUUGGCCGCAGGCGCGGCGCGUAGAGGAUAGGCAGGAGGCUGCGAAGCCCGGGCGCCAGCCCGGGCGGAGCCGACCUUGGAAUACUGCCCCCGUCGCGUCGGCGGCCUAACCCGGGGACGGCCCGGGGACCGUGCCAGGCGGGCAGUUUGACUGGGGCGGUCGCCUCCCAAAGAGUAACGGAGGCGCGCGCAAGGUCCGCUCAGGACGGUCGGCAACCGUCCGCGGAGCGCAAGAGCACAAGCGGGCCUGACUGCGAGGCAGACAAGCCGAGCAGGGACGAAAGUCGGCUCUAGUGAUCCGGCGGCCCCGAGUGGAAGGGCCGUCGCUCAACGGAUAAAAGGUACUCCGGGGAUAACAGGCUGAUCUUGCCCAAGAGUCCACAUCGACGGCAAGGUUUGGCACCUCGAUGUCGGCUCAUCGCAUCCUGGGGCUGAAGUAGGUCCCAAGGGUUGGGCUGUUCGCCCAUUAAAGCGGUACGCGAGCUGGGUUCAGAACGUCGUGAGACAGUUCGGUCCCUAUCCUCCGCGGGCGCAGGAGAAUUGAGGAGGGCUGCCCCUAGUACGAGAGGACCGGGGCGGACGGGCCUCUGGUGUCCCGGUUGUCGACCAACGGCACGGCCGGCUAGCCACGCCCGGAACGGAUAACCGCUGAAGGCAUCUAAGCGGGAAGCCGUCUCCGAGAUGAGUUCUCCCUUCGGUAAGCCCCCAUGUAGAACACGUGGUCGAUAGGCCGCAGCUGCAAGCGCCGCGAGGCGUUCAGGCGAGCGGUACUAAUAGGGCGAGCCCUUGCACCC